CGACCUCACCGCUCUCAUGCAAUUGUUUUCAAUCUCGUGUUUGGAACCCUAGAGAUCAUCUCCCGCUUUGCCAUGGCGUAUAACAGAGUCGGCGGCGAUGCGGCGCAUGAUGCGAUAACAUCUUCUCCAUCCGAUUCCGACCACAGCCUUCAUUCCUCUAAUGACGGAAAACCCUGAGCGUGUUCCUCCUCAUUCUGCAUGGAAUUCUUGAACAGUUUCUGCUACAACUUCAGGUCCUAAACCCUUGUAACUUCCGACAAAGGUGAGCCGCAAAAUCCUCAAUGAAACGCUGUUUUGGGCUUUCCUAAAUUGUUUUUUGGGCUUUUCAGACCCACUAAAAUAAAAAUGGCUUUCCUAGAAACGUAUAUUUUAGUGGGCCUCAAAAGCCCAAACAUAUUUCAGGAAAGCCCAAAACAAGGCUUCGUUUUUCCUCGACUAUUAGCCGGCACGCACUCUUUUCCUCAAAUUUGAAGCCGGCACGCUUGUCGAGCAGCAUCUGGCUUUAACGUAAUUUUCCUAGGGCGGCAUAAUAUAUACAUGUCCCACCGCUCUCAGGAUUUGUGUUUUCGAAAUCCAUCGCCCCCUUUUUCCGCCCUUAAAACUUCUUCAAACUCUCUGCGAGCAAAAAGCUUUGGAACCCUAGAAAUUACGAUGCUGAUAUGAUCACGCAUUUGUUGGUUUUCGUCGAUCGCGUGUUCUUCAUGGUGGGGACACCGGCCCACCGACCAAGGAGAUCUCCUUCGCCGUCGCGUUUCUCUGUUCGGAACCCUAGGGAUCAUCUCCGGCGUUGUCAUGGCGUACAACAGAGUCAGCGGUGAUGCGUUCACACGAUAAUGGAAGAAGACAUAGUAAUACAAUUACAGACAGCCGAUUGCGGAUUGCGUGCUUACUCUGUGCUGCUGGGAGCACUGUUUUCUUCUUCAUCAAUCUAUACCCAGUAAGAAACUUAUACACUGAGAAGGCAUUCAUCAUCAUUUCUUGCUGUCAGCGAGGCAAAACAGAAGUAGGCAUCCUUUACGGCUGAGGAAAAGCCAUCAUGCCUACAAAACAAGUUGAUACAAGGUAUUGGUGGGGAGAUCUGAAUCAGAAAGGCCGCCGAGGUAACUCGUUUUCUUUCAGUGGGUUAUAUUGUUGAAGAGCUCUCUGUGUCUGUGUUGAGAGUAGACGACGACGAUUCUCACGUUCAAUCCCAUGAAAUAUGAAAAUGGCCAAAUUCAAAGGUAGAGCUCAAGCUGGAGAAAGCGCAUCGUUUUUAGCUUCCCGAUCAGGACUGCGUGGUGUUCCUAUUAGCUGGCUGUUUUCAUCUUCACAAUUUUAAAUUAAGCAUACUAAACUAGAGCGAAAAACCUAUUAAUUGAGUAUAGCCGAAGAGUCCUUAAAUUUACCCUAUAGCAUCAUUUACUUAUACUUUUA